AAUUGAUCCCCGUAUGUUGACGUUUGUGGGCGGGAUGUUACAGAGCGGGAUUGCAAUAAUUUCGCGGGAAAUUGAAAAAAAGAAAGUACAUUUGAACGGAUUUGUUUUUGUUUUUUUGUAUUUUGCUUCGGGUAGCUAGAUUCUGUUUUGUCGACUCGACAAUGUCUGAAGACUCAUCCAUUGCAUCGGGUAGCGCCUUCAAUCUGUCAGAUCGUGAGAUGCUGGAAGAAAUUGAAGUGCAGAUAGAUGACGCAAGCAUGUCAUUGACGCACAUGCUUCGUGCGUCGUCGAUAAUAUCCACGCAGGUGAAAGACUUGGCUGCGAAAUGUUCUGCUAACGCCCAGUUUCUGAAGGCAUGGAGAGACCUGCUGAAGGACGGACAUUGUGAUGUCACCACGCCAUCAGCUGCAGACAACUGAUGAAAGUUGAAGGAACCUCCAAUCAACCAACUUUGUAAAUUUGAUGGACUUUGAUGGAUUAAACCGCUUGUGCCGUGUUUAAAAAAAAACAAAAACAAAAACAAAAAAACUGGUUAUUACUGACUUCAAAGGAAGUGUCUUUCCAAAAGUUCAAAUUAUAAAAAAUAAAAUAAAAAUAAAUUGGAUCUCAGAGGGUGCUUGAACUUUUACUUAACAUGCAUUUUCCCGUUGCCUGCUGCCAGUAACCAGAAUUAGCAAACAUGCUGUAUAAUUUGCCUAAAAAUACUGUGAAUUAUUAAAAACAGAAAUAGAUACGAAUUUA